rnacentral:rRNA from 1 species
GAUGAACGCUGGCGGCGUGCCUAACACAUGCAAGUCGAACGAACAGAUGCGGAGCUUGCUCCUCUGUCGUUAGCGACGGACGGGUGAGUAACACGUAGAUAACCUACCUCUAUGACUUAGAUAACUUCGGGAAACUGUAGCUAAUACCGGAUAAUAUAUUCAACCGCAUGGUUCACUAGUGAAUGACGGUUUUGCUGUCACUUAUCGAUGGAUCCGCGUCGGAUUAGCUUGUUGGUACGGUAACGCCUUACCAAGGCAACGACGCGGAGCCGACCGGGGAGGGGGAUAGGCCACCUGGGAACGGGAACACGGACAAGACUCCUGAGGGAGGCAGCAGAAGGGAAUGGGCCGCAAUGGGGGAAAGCCUGACACAGCAACGCCGCGUGAGUUAUGAAGGUCGUGAGAGCGGAAAACGCUGUUAUGAGGGAAAAACAAAUGUGGAAGUAAAGAAGGCCGUAGUGACGGUACCUAAACAAAAAGCCACGGCUAACUACGUG